CAGCCAUGUGGGCUGAGCCCUAGAGAUGGCCCAGGGCUGAGAGUCCAGGGAAAGGCCUGCGGGACCGGGCGGACAUCCCAAGCCCGGCUGUGUCCGUGUGGCCGCCGCCGACCGUGGCAGCCCCCAGCCCCACCACUGCCCUGUCCCUGGCUGGCCUGUCCCAGAGGAGGGUGUGUGGGCAUCCAGAGGGCCAGGGCCACAGAGGCGGAAGGGGCUGAGCCAGGCUCCCCUGGCGCUGUGGCGGCACUCAGGAAGGGUCCUUGGCCCGGGCUUGGGGUGGCUGCUGUUUGUGCUUCAUUCUCUUGCGCCCUCAUCGCUGCUAUGAAAACCUUCGUUCUCCAGCAGUUCCUGAAAUUAAAGAAGUGGUGAGCCACAAGUACAAGACACCAAUGGCCCACGAGAUCUGCUACUCUGUGCUGUGUCUCUUCUCCUGCGUGGCCGCCGUCCGUGCAGCGGGGAGGACCUCCAGACACCACCCCGGCCCGUCUCGGAGCUGACCCGAGAGGGACAGGCUGCCAUCCGGCCCGGGGGCGCCCCUCUCCCACCACUGCCGUGCAGUGGGUGGCUCCCCGCCUGUGUCCUGUGAGCCCCCGCGUGGCCUAGCUGGCUCCUGCUUGUCCCUGAGCGUGUCCUUGCCUCUGUCUUCAGGCUGUGGUGCUCGCUUCCCCCUUCCCCCUCUCUGCUUCCCCAGAGGCCAGCCUGCCGUACCCCGGGCUCGGGACAGCCUGGGUUCAUGGGACCAGCGUGAGUCCCCAUUGAGUGUCCUUUGACAUUGUGCAGUUCUUUGGCCUUGGCCUCAUGACACUCCGGGAAGGAGCCCGGCUCUCUGUCCUCUGUGAUCUGCAGUCCCCUGAGAUCUGUGGGCUGGGGGCCGGAAAGGAAGGCAAGCAGCUGGCAGAGUGGGGACCUCCCUGCCUCUCCUCCUCAUGGCCCCAGCUUGCUGUGUCUGCGGCCGGAGCGCAGUCUCCCUAUGGAGCGACAGGCCAGUGGUUGGGGGUGACGGAGCCCCUGGGAUGCUGGCUGCUCUGAGGAGGGGUGGGACAGGGCCCAUCUGAGGCCAGGUCUCCUGGUACCUGGAGACAGCCUGGUGCAUGGAUGACUGUAAAUAUUUCAGCUCCACAUUAUUUAUAGAAUAUGUACAGCUGCGUGAAUGUGAAAUAAAGGUCCUUAGUUCCCUUGGG
rnacentral:lncRNA from 1 species